GUGCUCGCUUUGGCAGCACAUGUACUAAAAUUGGAACGAUAACAGAGAUUAGAAUGACCCCUGUGCAGGGAUGACAUGCAAAUUCAUGAAGUGUUCCUUAUUUUG
rnacentral:snRNA from 1 species